CUCCGCAUGUCACUACUGUGUUGAAAUGAAGACAGCCUUGCCUUUAGCCCAAGGUUCAUCUAUUACAAUCGCAAGAGACAUUUGCACUGUUUAGUAAAUCAUUAUUUAUUUCCAAGUUAAUCCACACCAGCAUGUUAACUCUGGCUAUAAAUGUUGAAAAUUUUUGUCGUACUGAAUAGUAAAUCUUGUAGCAGUGCAAUUCGUUCUGAUCUUUAUGAUUAUACAGUACAGCAACAAGGAAGUUGGCAACAAUAAUUUAAAGGGUUGGAUCUUAUCUCCAGUGUUACAAUGCUAUGUCAAUGCACUUGGUAGAACAGAUAAAGCCGUGCUUGGGAUGGUUUACGACACAUUUGGAUUUUAAGCUCUGCAGAAUUCAAUUAAAAGAUGAAAGAAAAUGCAGGACACGGACUGCAAUUCAACGGGAACGUCGACGAAUCACAAAGAUAUUGCUGCACAAUCAUCAAAGAGUUUUGUUGGCCUGGAGCACCAAACUCAGCAAAUGAACCAAGUUCUAAACCAACAUCAGCAAGUUCACAGAGUGACAUCGAAAGAUCUGGAGGAAGUUUUUAGAACAACAACAAAUUCUUGACUUAAACAAGAUUGUGCUGAAUGACAGGAAUUCUGAAAAACCAGUCUCGUUACAUGCCUAGCGAGAAGAAAUGAUGAAACAGGCCAAAAUGUAUUGAAUAUGAAUUGAAAUAUACUCUCUAUUCUCUAUAUAGAGAGUAACCAGAGGAUACAGAUUUAUGGUGAACAUUGCUGUGUAGGCCACACUAGAUUUGAUCUCCAUGGAAUUCUCAACAGCUUAUACACAUGGAGCGGCGUGAGGAUGGUCAAUGCCUGGAGGGGACCACUGGAAUGAUAUCAUGUUCCAGUUAAACUUUAAGGGACCUUUUGUCAGAAAACCUCAACCAAUUGAAGUGGUACAGAAGGAAGAGGCUCGAUCACAGUACUGUUUUUUCGGCUAUAAAACAACACUGCACAAGUUCUCCAGAAGAAAUCGCUUUUUGAAGCAUUGUUAAAAUUUGAAAUUUAUCCAUGCACAUUAUGUCAUUAUAGCAAUUCUGUCACCGGUAAGAAACUCGUGUCAUGCAAACAAAUGCUUUCAACGUAUUAUAUACGUUAUAUGAGUGACUAGCCAAAUAUAAUGAACAACUGAUUGAUGUUAUAUCAUUUAACAGAUAAUUUAAGAGGAAAUGCAUUUUAGCAUUUUUUGUACAAUACCUUUAGCAUAAUACCAAGCACAGAUCUUUGGACAAAGGACUUUGAACAAGGCAUGUUAUAAGUGUAAACGUAUAAAAUGUCAUGGCCUACAUCUGAACAAUGCUGAGAUAUGUCGGCUUAACCCUUAAACUCCACACAGGUUAUUGCAAUUUAUGUUUCACAUUUAUUACACUGUAAUUAUUAAAUAUGAUUUAAGGUGAAUAAUCGAUAACAAGCAGCGUCACGCACCUUAAGUUGCUUCAACUCACAGAAACAUUGUGUACUUUUUAAUGCACAGUGCUUAUUUCUAAUUCAGUUCAUGAAUAUUCUUUAUCAAAAUGUAUCGUUAAAAUGAUAUAUGCUCACUGAGGACCUUUUUAAGUACACUGUACUAACACGUAGUAGGACCUUUGCCUUCAAAGCAGCCUUAACUCUGCAUGCCAUGGAUUCCAAAAGAUGAUGAAAUUUCAAUAUUUUCUUGAGAUUUUUUUCAUGUUGUCAUGAUUGUAUCAGUAAAUCCUGCCGAUUGUUCAUGAUGGGAAUUCCUUGUCCUACCACAUUACAAAUGAUCUCUACUAAAUUUAGAUCCAGUGACUGUGAAACUCACUGAAGACUAUAAACUCAAUGUCAUGUUUAUGAAAGCAGGUUAUAAUGACUCUUGCUUUGUGACAUGGUGCAUUAUCCUGCUGGAAGUAGCCAUUGGUAAAAAUCACGCAAAAAUAAUUGCAUGUACACAUGAGUGUAAAGGUGUUCCUUACGAAGUACUCAGUGAUUGUAGCUUUUAUUUGUAAUCCAAUGGAAUUCUGUUGAAUUUUUUUUUUUAAAUAUAUUGCAUUUUAGCAACUAAAUAUGGCAUUGCUACUGUAUAUAAGACUAUACAUGUAAUAUAUAUUUGUGUAAAGGUAUUUUUUGUACCUGAUGCCAAAUACUUGCAAAGACCGUUUUACUACAUUUCUAAACAAAUAUAUUUUAUACAUAUAUAAAUAUAUAUAUUAAAAAAAUUGAUCACAGUGA